GAUGAACGCUGGCGGCGUGCCUAACACAUGCAAGUCGAACGGACUCGUUAUUCGAUUUAACUAAUCGAAAGCUGACAUAGUGUUUCUCGGCGCAGCUAAUCCGCAGCCCGAAUGUAAUUCGAGCGAGGACAAGCAAGCGAGGAACAGUAUGUCAGCUAUAAACAGAGUUAGUGGCGGACGGGUGAGUAACACGUUAGUACCUACCCUCUAGUGGGGGAUAACUGCCCG
rnacentral:rRNA from 1 species